GUAUGAAGAUAAUACGUCGCCUGGGAACUCUACCAGGUUUGACUAGUAAAACACCUGGAUCGGGCUCGGGUUAUAUCGAUCGAUCAACGUCGAGUAAGAAAAUUUCCCAGUAUCGUAUUCGGUUAGAGGAGAAGCAGAAACUACGUUUCCAUUAUGGAUUGACAGAGAGACAAUUAUUAAAAUAUGUUCGUGUCGCCAGAGGGGCAAAAGGUUCGACGGGUCAAUUAUUACUACAGUUGCUUGAAAUGCGUUUGGAUAAUACAAUCUUUCGUUUGGGUAUGGUUCCGACAAUCCCCGCAGCGAGGCAAUUAGUUAAUCAUCGACAUGUUUCAAUAAAUGAAAAUAUAGUUGAUAUACCAAGUUAUAAUUGUCAACCUGGGGAUGUUAUUACGAUAAGGAAUCAGGCGAAAUGUCGAUUAAUAACUGAAAGAGAUAUGAAUUUAUUCCAGAAGCCUGAAAUACCUAAUCAUUUAGCUUUUGAUUCAGCAAACUUUCUUGGAUCGAUAAAUCAAAUAAUUGAUCGCAAUUGGAUUGAUUUGAAAGUCAAUGAAUUGUUGGUUGUGGAAUACUACUCCCGCCAGGUUUGA
rnacentral:precursor_RNA from 1 species